rnacentral:lncRNA from 10 species
GAAGGCCACAGGAAGGUGACAGCUGAGGCAGGUCUGGCUCCUGGAGGAUGGGACACACAACGUGGGAACCGGCAAGUCACCAGAGUCAUCUCAGCCAAGAUCAACCAAUAGUCAAUUACCAGGAACGUGAGAGAAUUCUGAGACCAGGACUGCUCAGCCACCUCUGCCUAAAAUACCAACACACAGAACAGUAAAGUGAAUGGAUGUUUAUUAUCCUAAGCCACUAUAUUUUGAGAUUG